GGAGGAGUCGGAUAAUUGGUUAUUCCAACAGGUUGCUAACCUGUACCGCCUAAAAAGCGGUCUGUGGGUUCGAGUCCCACCUCCUCCGCCC
rnacentral:tRNA from 1 species